GAGGGUGAGAAAAAAAUCGUAUAAAAGGAGAGAGAAAAUGCCAUAGAAAUUAGUCGAGUGAGGAUCUCCGACACGGCAACAACUGCUCUCUUCGUUUUAAUAUCAGUUUGCAAUCAUGGUUGAUAAUGGCGUUGGGUUGCUGUUGGGUGUUGUAUCGUUGAUGCCGAGCCCGAAAAAGAGAAGGCGAUAGAAAUCAAUCGAGUGAGCAUCUCUGACACGGCAACUGCAUUCUUGGUGUUAUUACCAGUUCUCAAUCAGGGUAAACUAUGCCGUCGUGCUGCACUACACACUACAACUGAUGCUGCUCCGAGCUACUAAACCGAAGCCUCGAAGUAUUAUUCUUCCCCGAGCUACGCUACCAAAGCACACAGGUGCUACACCAACGAGUCGCCCAAGUACUACACAACUACGUAUGCUGCCCCAGUCUACUACACCAAGGCUCCCAAGUACUACUCUGCUCCCAGCAACUACACCGAGCCAAAAGUAACGGACUGAAGGUGCUCAAAGUUUUUGCUGAGGACGGUAGCAGGUCGAGUCCUCCCUAAAUGAGCGAAUGGAUAACCGAGAAGUUGAAUGCGGAAAGUGUUAAUGCGUUGCCCAAAGCUAAUGUUGAGGGUCCAAUCUUGGAAGACAACAAGGUCCCAUUGAUCUUAAACAAUGGUCGAAAGGUUUAAACUGGCCAUGUUGUCGUUGCUGUUGGUUUGAACGCAAACACGGAUUUGGCUGUCGCUUCUGGUUUGGAAAUCGAUUCCAAUUGUGGUUAUCGAGUCGAUGCUGAGCUUGAAGCAGAUCAAACGUCUGGUUGCUGCCUGCUUUUAUGAUUUCAAUUUGGAUCGUCGUCGUGUGGAACAUGAUGGCUAUGCUGUCGUAUCAUUGGCAUGGAUUGCCAGACUGUGGUAUUGAUUGGCUAGAGUGCAUAUGAUUGGCAAUGCAUGCAUGCAACAUGGGUGAAGGACUGCAGCGCAAUAUUUGUCACUAACUGCAUUCUUCGUCGUAUUUUCAGUACGCAAUCAUGGUUAACUAUGGUGUCCUGCUGCUGUAUGUUGUAUCGUUGAUGGCUGGGUCAACCAUUGGUGUACCGAUGUCUCCUGGGUAUGGCGGAUACCAAGCCGCAACGCCGCCGCCUUCCUACACAACAACAACAUACGCAACAACCGGUUACCACACCACCAAGGCUGCAGAAUAUUACACCACAACUUAUGAUACCCUGCAUCGAAGCCCUGAAGUAAAACUCUGCCCCGAGAUGCCUCAACAAAGAGGCUGAGUACUGCACCACCAAGGCCCCGGAGUACUGCUCCACCACGUUUGCUGUCCCAGCCCU
rnacentral:lncRNA from 1 species